UCAAUGUCCCACGCCUUGG
rnacentral:miRNA from 1 species